UGAGGAAUAUUGGUCAAUGGACGAGAGUCUGAACCAGCCAAGUAGCGUGAAGGAUGACUGCCCUAUGGGUUGUAAACUUCUUUUAUACGGGAAUAAAGUGAGGUACGUGUGCCUUUUUGUAUGUACCGUAUGAAUAAGGAUCGGCUAACUCCGUGCCAGCAGCCGCGGUAAUACGGAGGAUCCGAGCGUUAUCCGGAUUUAUUGGGUUUAAAGGGAGCGUAGGCGGACGCUUAAGUCAGUUGUGAAAGUUUGCGGCUCAACCGUAAAAUUGCAGUUGAUACUGGGUGUCUUGAGUACAGUAGAGGCAGGCGGAAUUCGUGGUGUAGCGGUGAAAUGCUUAGAUAUCACGAAGAACUCCGAUUGCGAAGGCAGCCUGCUGGACUGUAACUGACGCUGAUGCUCGAAAGUGUGGGUAUCAAACAGGAUUAGAUACCCUGGUAGUCCACACAGUAAACGAUGAAUACUCGCUGUUUGCGAUAUACAGUAAGCGGCCAAGCGAAAGCGUUAAGUAUUCCACCUGGGGAGUACGCCGGCAACGGUGAAACUCAAAGGAAUUGACGGGGGCCCGCACAAGCGGAGGAACAUGUGGUUUAAUUCGAUGAUACGCGAGGAACCUUACCCGGGCUUGAAUUGCAACUGAAUGAUGUGGAGACAUGUCAGCCGCAAGGCAGUUGUGAAGGUGCUGCAUGGUUGUCGUCAGCUCGUGCCGUGAGGUGUCGGCUUAAGUGCCAUAACGAGCGCAACCCUUAUCGAUAGUUACCAUCAGGUUAUGCUGGGGACUCUGUCGAGACUGCCGUCGUAAGAUGUGAGGAAGGUGGGGAUGACGUCAAAUCAGCACGGCCCUUACGUCCGGGGCUACACACGUGUUACAAUGGGGGGUACAGAAGGCAGCUACACGGCGACGUGAUGCUAAUCCCGAAAGCCUCUCUCAGUUCGGAUUGGAGUCUGCAACCCGACUCCAUGAAGCUGGAUUCGCUAGUAAUCGCGCAUCAGCCACGGCGCGGUGAAUACGUUCCC
rnacentral:rRNA from 2 species